UGCCUGCUCUUCCCUGAUUUACCCACAACCCUAACUUUGCAUAUUCAAAGGGGGAGAUCCUGGUAAGUACAUGCUUAGUGUGGUAGCAAACAUUAGAGAAUCUAGUGGUGAUGGAGACCCCGCCCAUCCCCUAAUAUUCCCUGUUCCCCAUCCCCUCCAAAUAACAAAAAUACUAAAAAUCGAGCUAACCUGGAAACCCCAUGCCGCAGCUGGCACUGGACUGCACGUUGCCCUGGGUGUAAGUCGACUCACACAGGCACUAACUUCUGCCACCCUUGAAGGCGCACUCCUGCAGCCAGUUCCUGGCAGGUUUUCCUGGUUUCCUGUAGGUCAGAGAUGGCAAAUACUUACACACUGCCCCUGCCUCCCCUCACAUCCCUGGCUGUGGAAGAUCUCGCUUAAGCCAGACCAGAAUUCAUUCUUGGCACUGCCCCUCCUCUUUCUAUCUCCUAUGCAGAUGUCACUCAUGGAUCAGAGCAUAUUUUUCCACAUGGCAGAAAUCUUGCCCUCUUGUGCCCAUGGCAGACAUGGCUAGUUGAUCUAGCAUUCUUUGCCUUGUGCCACUCCUCUAGCACACGCCCAUGGCAGACAUUGCUAAUCAAUCCUGGCAUUCUUUCCAAAUAAGCUUGCCAGCACUCCUGUUUUAUAGCAGAUGUGGCUAAGUGAUUAAGGUAUUAUUUUCUUCCCUAUAUGAUACCCUCUUCUCUAUGCAUGGCAGGCAUGACUAGUCAAUCAGGAGCCCCUUUCCUAGAUGCUGCCUCUUGUCCUCCAGAUAAAUUGAUGAGGCUCUUCUGUUCCACUUACCCUUUCUCCUAUCCUUUGCCUGUGACAGGCAACACUAAUUGAUCCUAGCACCGUUUCCUGCCACGCCCAGAAUUCUCACCACAGUGCUCCAGGUAUCUUGUACCAGUCGAUUGACAUGGCCCCCGAGAUGAAUCAUAUUUGCUGUCCAUCCCUGCUGUGGGUAACACCUCCUUCCUUUGUGCAGAGCCCUCAGCUGGGGCCCAGUGUGGGGCGUGAGAUGGGCGUGAGGCCCAGUCCAGCCCAGCCCAGUGGGAAGCAGCCUGCUACUCAUAUCUGAGAGCUGAGCCCAGCUCAAGGAGCUCACCUCUAGGCGGCUGGCCUCAGCCUGGCUCUUACACUUGGACAGCACAGCCUGGGCCUCCAGCCCUAGCAGGGGCUCCCUUUUGCUGGACAUUCUCCCACUGCCAGCCACCAAGGCACUGGUCAUCCCUGCCAUUGCCCUCUGGCAGGGAUCUUCUGGCAAUCCCAGGGUCUUUCUUGUAGCUGAGCCGAUCCUAUGCCAGGGCCUCGCUGCUCCCAGGGCCUGGGUGUGCAGAUAGGGCCAUGGGUGGGGGCAGUGACGGGAGGAAUUAGGUGGCCUCGGGCUUGUGGUUUUCAGGUUCCUCAUGUGUUCCCCCCAGUCCCCUUGAAUUUGCCAGGCCAAGGCCAGGAACCUACUUCUCCCUUGUACCCCAAGAGGUUUAGGGGUUCCUCUUUUCCUACCAGAGGCCACAUAGCCCAGCCCUGUCAUGAGCAUGGCUGUGGCCUCUGGGUCUCCCAUCUGUGGUUCUCAUCUCUACCCGGGAGACUCAGGCCAGGACCCUCACCCAGGAAAGAGGCUGGAGCAGCCUGCCAGGGGAUCCCUGCUUUGCCGCCCCCUGCCUGCCCUGCCACCCAUGCUGCCCCAUGUGCCUGCCUGCCUGUCACUGUGCACCCCAGCCCACAAAGGCCUGCCGCCUCUUCUGUCUCUCCCACCCCCACUUCCUUCUAAGCCCAGUCCCAUUGGGAUGUGUCCCUUGGAUGCAAACCUGACUUUCUGCUGAGGCCUGGCCCCUCCCUUUUCUCUGGCUCGCAAGUGGUGGAUGGCUAACAGGGCCUUUGUUUGCCACCCACAGCUUGCAGCUCCCUAGGGUGGGAUUUUAUCUCUGAACCCAUGUGGAGAAGGGCACCUCAGGGCUUCUGCCAGACCUCCUGCCCCAAGGCUUGGUGUGCCAUCCCCAGCAUGGCCCCGAUCAGUGCCCUGGCCCUGUGGCCAUGCACCCCAAAGUGUAGCGCGGGCCCUGUCCUCCAGCUCUGACCAACACUAACCCCAGCUGGAGGCAGGAGAGCCAGGCCACUGAGGGGUGAGCGGGCACAUCCCUCUCCCUGGAAACCGGGCCAGGCCUAGGAGUAUGGAGGCCUCCCAUUUCUCUGGGGGAGCACUGACAGCCUGUCUCCCUGUUUGCCCUCACCUGGUUGUUACUCGUCAUGGAAUCAUGGAACCAGGGUCUACUAAGCACUCGUUCUGUGCCCAGCCCUGGGCUGAGACAAGGCAGUGUCCCCACCCCGCUCCCCCCGGGUGAAUGGAGGCAUUCCCAGAAUGCCAGGCCUUUGGUGCUAACACCAAGACGUCCUGGGCAGACCAGGAAGAGCUCGUCACUGCAUUCCCAGAGGGGAUGCUGUGACCUCACAGGGGCUGCUGGCCUCAGCCCCCUCACCCACCACCAGGCAGCCCGUGAAUGGCCAGAUGCCAGGGGUCACUGCCUGCUCCAAACAACUGUGAGAGUCCUGUCUGUUCAUCCCAGGGAGGGAUAAGUCUGUACCCUUGGCCUUAACAAGCGGCGCCCAGUAGCAUCUCAUGCUGUCCCCAACCUGGGCAGUGACUUCUGCAUGGUCCAGGGGUCCCUGGGUACUCUUUAGCCACCUCCGCCUUCAUGGCCACCUGGGGCUUAGCACUCACAUCCAGCCACCAAGGAGCCACUGGAGCUGUGGGCUGGUGGCCCUGGUUCAGAAUGUCAGGCUCUGGGUGGGUCAGGGUAGUCCAGAUGAAGCCCUUCCAGAGGACCGCCCCCGACUAGGACAGGACAGCAUUUGGGCCCCAGAGGGAUUCCUGGAGGCCCCAUCUCUGGCGCUCCUGCCGUGCCGUGCCCUGCCAUGCCCUGCACUGGGGGAUGCAGGUCAGCCCUUUGCAGCUGUCCGUGGCCAUGCUCAGCCCACCCUUUGUAGCUUGGCCAAGUCUGUCAGUGCCUGGGUCCCAGGCCGCCCUGUGCGUGCCUCCGUGUGCUUCCUGCAGCUCCCAGGGCCCUCUUCCUGAGUGGGGUGGGGGGCUCUGGCCCACACAUGCCUCCAGCGGCCAGGGAGCGUGGGAGCACAGCCCCCAGGCUGCCUGCCGUUAGCUGUCAGCUGAGUCCCUGCACAGGCCUGGGUUCUGACCCCCACUCAGAUGACAGCUACAGCCACACAAUCCCCAUCCAUGGGGUCUCCCAGCCUAGAACCCUGAUGUGUCAGUCAAAAGGAUGACCACUAGGCUUGCAGCCAGCUUGGGACAUGAGCCACGCUCCUUCAGUGUCCUUGGGGAGGGCCCCUGGGCUCACACCUUUGACCCUAGCCCUCUGUGUGGAUGCUACCCUUGGAACCUUAUCUCACGCAAACAAGUGCAGUUCCUCAGAUGUCACAUUUCAUGUGCCACAGCCCCACACACAAGCCCCAGGGACUCCUCCCAUGGGCCCCUCUUUCCAUGAGGCCUCUGUGACUCUAUCCCCCAUCAACCCCUGGCCCAGUGAGUCUGUCUGUCCGCACACCUGCCUAAGUGGUACCCCAUGUUGGUUUCCCGCUGGAAAUACUUGGGAUAGGUUGGAACUGGGUUUCCUGGGCUUUGGGACUGCAGGUGUCUCUAUCGCGGUCCCUGGCUUCCCACUGAGCUGUGGGCAAGGCUGCUGCGCUGGGGGAUGGCUGGGGCGCGGAGCGAGGUUCCCCGCUAAGCUGCGCGCUUUCCCCCAGGUAAUCCGCAGGGGCUGGCUGACCAUCAACAACAUCAGCCUGAUGAAGGGCGGCUCCAAGGAGUACUGGUUUGUGCUGACUGCCGAGUCGCUGUCCUGGUACAAGGAUGAGGAGGAGAAAGAGAAGAAGUACAUGCUGCCUCUGGACAACCUCAAGAUCCGUGAUGUGGAGAAGGGCUUCAUGUCCAACAAGCACGUCUUCGCCAUCUUCAACACGGAGCAGAGAAACGUCUACAAGGACCUGCGGCAGAUCGAGCUGGCCUGUGACUCCCAGGAGGACGUGGACAGCUGGAAGGCCUCGUUCCUCCGAGCCGGCGUCUACCCCGAGAAGGACCAGGCAGAAAACGAGGAUGGGGCCCAGGAGAACACCUUCUCCAUGGACCCCCAACUGGAGCGGCAGGUGGAGACCAUUCGCAACCUGGUGGACUCAUAUGUGGCCAUCAUCAACAAGUCCAUCCGCGACCUCAUGCCAAAGACCAUCAUGCACCUCAUGAUCAACAAUACGAAGGCCUUCAUCCACCACGAGCUGCUGGCUUACCUAUACUCCUCGGCGGACCAGAGCAGCCUCAUGGAGGAGUCGGCCGACCAGGCACAGCGGCGGGAUGACAUGCUGCGCAUGUACCAUGCCCUCAAGGAGGCGCUCAACAUCAUCGGCGACAUCAGCACCAGCACUGUGUCCACGCCUGUACCCCCGCCUGUCGAUGACACCUGGCUCCAGAGCGCCAGCAGCCACAGCCCCACUCCACAGCGCCGACCGGUGUCCAGCAUACACCCCCCUGGCCGGCCCCCAGCGGUGAGGGGCCCUACUCCAGGGCCCCCCCUGAUUCCUGUGCCCGUGGGGGCAGCAGCCUCCUUCUCGGCGCCCCCAAUCCCAUCCCGGCCUGGACCCCAGAGCGUGUUUGCCAACAGUGACCUCUUCCCAGCCCCGCCUCAGAUCCCAUCUCGGCCAGUUCGGAUCCCCCCAGGGAUUCCCCCAGGAGUGCCCAGCAGAAGACCCCCUGCUGCGCCCAGCCGGCCCACCAUUAUACGCCCAGCCGAGCCAUCCCUGCUCGACUAGGCCUCGAGGGGGGCGUGCUCUCAGGGGGACUCACGCACCCGCGGCGCAGGAGCUUCAGUGGUCUGGGGCCCUCUGCCGCCCCUAUGCCGGGACCAGGCUCCCAGUGGGCAGCCCUGGCCUCUUCCUUAACGCUGGCCCCGGUCCAGGGCCGGCCCCUGUGCCUGGCUGGACACCGCACUGUGCAAAGGGGCCCUGGAGCUCCAGGCAGGGGGCGCUGGGGUGUUGCACUUUGGGGGAUGGAAUCUCAGGGUGGCAGAGGGGGGACCUGCACCCUUGACACCAUCCUGAAUGAGGGGUCCAGCCUGUGGGGGACUCUGCCAGGGUCUUCUCGGGCUGGGAAAGCCCAUGUAGGGCAGGUCUUCUAGAAGUGGGGGCACCAAGGGCGCCUACAUCCCCAGGCCUUGCUGGGGUGCAGGGGUAUAUCAACUUCCCAUUAGCAGGAGCUCCCCAGCAGCAAGCCUGGCCCAGUGGGCUCGGUAGUGCCGAGCUGCCAGGCCUGAGGUGUACAUAGUCCUUCCUGGCCAUAUUAACCACACAGCCUGAGACUGGCCCAGCCUCGGCUGCCAGAGGUGCCUUUGCUAGGCCCGGAACCGUUGGCCCGGGCCGGCCUUGCCCUAUUCCUGUCUUCCUCCUCCUCCUCCUGGGUCCCCCAGGGUGGCUGGGCUUGGGCUAUGUGGGUGGUGGUGGCGGGGGGCCUUGGGGGCCUCUCAGCUCCUGCCCAUGCCUCCCUGAUGGGGCAGGCCCCGGGCGGCCUCUCUCUGAGCAGAUCUCACCCACUCCUCGCUCGGUUUGACCACUGUAAGUGCCUGCACUCUGUAUCCUAUUAAUAAACUAAAAUAAAGGGAAGACGCUG
rnacentral:sRNA from 1 species